UCUGGUUGCUAGGAAAAAUAC
rnacentral:piRNA from 1 species